AGAACCAAGAGAAGAAUUACAAAGAGUUCAAAACAAAAGAUGCCAGCAGAAAAAGGAAUAGUAUGUCCAAACUCCAAAAAUAAUUUAGAACGGUGGACGCAUUUAUUCGAAGCAGAUAAAAUCAGAGCAACUCCACUCUCUCCACUGACCAAAAUAGACUGGCUUCUUGCCUCAUUUAUCAUCGCCCUGCAAAUAGAUGCGGGCUUAGCUCUCCAAAUGCAGCGCCUUUAUAUUGCUCCAUCAUAUGGACACUAUACAAAUGCGGAAGUCUUUGGAAUGGAUUCACCGCGAUCAAGAUGUUUCCGGUCAAAACGGCAAUCAAGAUUGUGGAGGACCCCUGGCUCAUGGAGGUAAGCCAGUUUAGUCAUGUCGUCAACUCCUGCAGGCGGUGCCUCUGUAUCCUUUGGAUAUAUACUAGAAAUACUAGCAACAACCUGGAAAAGGUCCAUGUGACUAUUUUGGCAUUGGUGCCUAUGAUUUCAAUCACUUCUCCACUAAUCCAUGCGAGUUCUGGAUCCUCGACCCAGACAUGUGACCCGAGUGUGAUAUUUACUGGAGUCCCCUAUUUAUCAAAACAAGCCUUUCAAUAGUCUCAUCUUAGAAAAAAAGAUAGAAUAUGCAGCAGAAAGUUCUUGGGAAGGCUUACCAUAUUUCAGAGCCUGCAGCAGUUGAAGUAAAGAGAAGGUAAUUUAGAUAGAGAAGAUUGAGCUCUUUGAGGGAGAGAGAGAGACUGAGAUGAAUCACAAAAAGAAAUGAAAAGGCGACUCUGAAUCCAAGAAAAGCCACAGGAUAUUCUUAUCUAGAAUAUGACCUUUCCCUCACCUCUAAUCUCCUCCAAGUCUUUUCACUGUUUUUGCAGGUUUUAGAGCUUAAGAUGCAGCAAUGGCGGCAAAUCAACUUCUUUCAGAUAUUCUCUCUUGGGUCAUUUGCUUUGAAAACCAUGCUUGAGCUUAAGGUCACUCUACAUAUUUUUCUCCUUUUCAAAGCUUUAUGAUGCUUCCUUUUGAGUAUGAAUGGGGUCCUCGUAGGUUAAAAAGAAUGUGAAAUUGCUGCUUUUAGAACUUUAAAGUUGUCUGCUUUACAUUUUGAUAUUGCUACUGCACCAACUUUUUCACUUGAUCGACCAUAGCCAGGUACUGUUUAGCUGUGAAAGUGAGCGUUUUUUUCUCUUUUUCGUUAAAGACAAUAAUGCCCUUUUACGUUUGGUUUCCAUCUCUUGCAGAGCCAAAAGGCUCAAGGGACUUGUCUUGGACGUGCUUAAACUUGAAGUCAUCACCUUAAAAAAGUGUAAAACUUUUGUCAAAUAUGAUUGAGAGUUGCAGAUAUAUUUUAAACUUUGUGUGUGAAGGUAAUGGCCGGUGGAGAAUCUCCGGUGGCUGUUGAGGCCGGUGGCCAUUUGGAUUAACUUUUCCAGCUAGACUUGGCUUUUCAUUUCUUUCUCAUUUUUUUAUUUAUGGUCGAAAGUGUUUAGUAUAUAGCUGUCAUAUUUUUGCUAUAUUCCUUGAUCCAACAACAUCAUGAUUACAUGUGCAACCCUGUGUUUUAGUUUAUUUCUUAAAUUAAAUAAAAGAUCUCUCCUAGUAUCU